rnacentral:tRNA from 1 species
GGAGGCAAAGUUCAGUGGUAGGGUGUGUGCCUGGCAUACACAAAGUCCUGGGUUCAAUCCCCACUACUUCCA